CGAUUUAUACAGCGCAUGCUCGUUGUGGAGUUCACCGGAAGUCCGAAAAAUAAUCAUUAUUAUUCAUUUCAUACUACACUUUAUAGUCAACACAGUCAGUUUCUUCAGCGUUUUUCAUGUAAUCGAAGCAGCGGAAAGUUAACUCUUCGCAGCCUAAAUAGAUAAUGCCAGGCUUCGAGUUGGAGCAGGUGGACGGUGGCAGUCCUAUAGAUCUGCCCUAUGGAGAAACAGUCUUGGGGAGAGGACCAUUUCUAGGAGUGAAUGAUAAGAGAGUGUCCAGGAACCACGGCAUCCUUGAGAACCUGAACGGCCAGCUGCGUCUGAAGCCUACACACCUGAACCCAUGUUUUAUUCAGACGAACAUUGUGGCUCAGCCUCAGCCUCUGGAGAAGGACGAGUGGCAUUGCCUAAAGGAGGGCGAUAUCUUCUCUCUAAUGCCUGGGAAAUACAUUUACAGAGUGCAUGUCAAAGAAGACGACCAAACCCCCAGAAACAGUCAGGCGUUUGAGGAGGCGAUGGAGGUGGAGAAGUGUUCGAGUGGACCAGCAGCGCCCUCUCUAGACUCGGCCACACUUGAAGCCAACAGCUACACGCCCACAACCCCGAGCGCCACACUCAUAGAAGAUAAAGAAGCGGGUGAUUCUUCACACGCUCUUUCUGGUCUCAAAGAGACACCCACAAAGAGCCAAAAGGACGAGUCUGAUGUGCCACAGAAGAAGCGGAUCUUGCCGGCCUGGAUGUUGACCAUAGCCAAAGGUGAGAGCUCAGCGGUGAAAGCGACCCCUACAAAAGCCAAACGAGUUGCUACACCCAAGAGGGCAGCUGGACCCAAACGGGCUCGAGCCACACGGGUGUCAUCUGAGGAAGAGGAGGAGGAGGAGGAGGAGGAAGAGAUGCCCAAAAGGAAAGCAAAGAGACUGAAGAGUGACUCUGAAGUUGAGUCUAAGCCUCUGGAUGAUGCAACCGCUCCUAAGAGCAGUAGAGUCGGAUCAGUCUCAGACGGCGCGAACGGCACCGGUUCGAUGGAGCGUGACGAUGGGGAGAGAAGAGGAGGUGGCAGGGGAGCUGAGGACAAACCAGGAGCUCAAGCUGAAGACUUACAGACACAGGCAGAAGAUGUCAGUGAUUCUCAGGCCAGCCAAGGACGCCCACAGAGGUCGAAGAUCACAGAGAGCCAAACAAGCACCAGUACGGUGAAAAAGCGCCAGCGAACACCAUGUCCUUACGGCAGCUCUUGCUACAGGAAAAAUCCGGUCCACUUUCAGGAGUGCAGUCACCCUGGAGACAGCGACUAUGAAGAAGAGGAGGCAGAUGAAGCUGACGAUGACAGGCCGGAGUGUCCGUACGGCACUCACUGCUACAGGAAGAAUCUGCUUCACAAGAAAGAUUACAAACACACUAAAUCACCACCCAAGACCGCUGCAGCUGCUGAUGAGGAUGAGGAUGAGGAUGAAGAUCAAUAUGAAAACAGUUUUAUUAAUGACGAGAGUGAGGAGGAAGAGGUGGAUGAAGACUCGGACUACGUGCCUGAAUCGGACGACGGUGGCAAAGAGGACAUUAAACGGUUGCAGAAAGAAGCAAAAGCAUUCCUCAGGAGGAAGAAGUGACUUGCCUUUAGGAUACAGCGAAUGAUGACUGAGAAAACCUUGAGAGAAACAGGCUAGGUCAACCUCAGACAUAAAUAACCAACAAGCUGAUAAAGGGUUAGCAACUGACAAGAAAGGAUUUUAUCAGGAUGGAAAUAUGAGCUACAUAUGUUUUUGUGGGAUUCAGAAGAUGUGCUCUGUUUGCUGAGUGCUGAGAAGGAGGACAAGCCAUCUGGACAAAGAAGAAAGUGAAACAGGUCAUGUUAAAGAUUUAUUCAUAUGUAGACACACAAUCUAUCAGACAGUGGAGCUGUCCUCCACACACACACACACACACACACACACACGUCUGGUUUAUUAUCCUUGUGGGGACUCUUCAUAGGCGCAAUGGUUUUUAUACUGUCCACACUGUGUUUUCUAUCCCCUUACCCUAACCCUACCCCUAAACCUAACCCUUACAGAAAACUUUGUGCAUUUUUACAUUCUCAAAAAAAUCAUUCUGUAUCAUUUAUAAGCUUGUUUCCCCAUGGGGACCUCAAUUUAGGUGAUGAGUCUGUGUGUAUUCAGGUUUAGGUCCUCACCAGGAUAUAAAGACCACAAUCCUUCACUCUGACAGAAUCAUUCCUGAACAUCCUCUAAAUUUACAGCUCUGAUAGGAGAGUAUGGUAGAUGGCUGCAUUGACAAAAAUAUUCCACCCUUUCUCUAAAUCACACACCGAGCCAUAAAAGCAGCCCUGAAUUCACAAGCAGCUGAAUAUCAAACAGCGAUCUUAUAGAGACGGUGCAAAUGAGACAGCACGACAAAAUUAGAACAUUCCCAUCUUAAUGAGUGAAGUUUAUUAUAACAGGAAGUGAGGAAGCAGUGAGGCUUUAAUAGUGGACAGCUGUGUACAUCCAUUAGGCUGCAUGAGAGACCCGGUGAACUCAUCUGACAGCAGGAGAAGAGCAGACGCCUCCCAAAUCCGUCCCAAACACAUUGUCUGAACGUCCAGCAUGCUUGAGUUACUUCACAGAUUGUGUGAGGCUACCUGAUGUCAGAGCAGCGUGGAGAAAGAUGAUUGGGCUGUCAUGACGACGAGAGAUCCUAGUCUGCUCAUUUAGAGAGUAAAUCAGGGAUGACGGUCGGUUCUAAUUGCCUUUUUCCCAGUUAGAUCAUAAAAAGAAUUGCUGUGAGAACUAUUUUAUACAGUUAACUGUAUAAAACAACGGUUAAAUCAUUAUAAACCUUUUGGGUGGUUGCUGUGGUGUUGCUAUAUGGUUGUUAGGGUAUUUUUUUUUGGUUGCUAGGGCAUCUGUGGUUGUUUGUAAGCAGUGCUGGUUAGAUUACUUACAAACCGUAGUCUGUUACUGAUUACAGAUUACAUGAUGAAAAAUCAUCAUUUAGUGGGUACUUUCAAAUGGGAGGUGGCUGUUCCGAGCCCUAACCCUUAAACUUCAACUUAUAAAAAUUAUAUUGAAAACAUUUUUGCAUUUUAUUCCAUUGUUGUUUUAAAAAAUAUGUUUUAUUUUUUCUAAGUGAAGUUCAAAAAAUAUUUUAUAUUAUUUGUAAAUUAUGAAACUUUAUGUAAAAAUGUGUUUUUCAUGUACCCACCGAAACAAUGUAUGUUUUAGUCCACUGGCUGAGACUGAUUUUAACUACACUCCUACAUGUAUGAUCAGGAAAUAUUAUUGUGUCUCGUGCUGUCAUAGCUACAUGGUGAGUAGAUAGGUCCUCAUUUUGAGGUAAAUGUGUUCAGUCACUGCUGAAACAUUUGGUAAAGUUUCGGUAGUCACAACAUUGUUUUUUUUUUGGGUGUCAUCACAAAAUUUUCACUACCGAAACAGUCACUACUGAAACAUUUGGUGAAGUUUCUGUAGUGGCGACAUUGUGUUUUUUGGGUGUUAUCGCAUAAAACUGUCAUGACCCAAACAUUUGGUGAAUUUCGGUAGUGACUACACAGUUUUUUGGGGGUGUUAUCCCAUAAAAUUGUCACUACUGAAACAUUUGGUGAAGUUUCGGUAGUGACGACACUGUUUUUUGGGUGUCAUCCCAUAAAAUUGUCACCACUGGAACAGUCACGACCAAAACAUUUGGUGAAAUUUUGGUAGUGACAACAUUGUUUUUUUGGGGUGUUAUCCCAUAAAAUUGUCACUACCGAAACAGUCACGACCAAAACAUUUUGUGAAGUUUCGAUAGUGAUGACAUUGUUUUUUGGGUGUUAUCCCAUAAAAUUGUCACUACCGAAAUAGUCACCACUGAAACAUCUGGUGCGGUUUCGGUAGUGACGACAGUGUUUUUUUGGAUGUUAUCCCAUAAAAUUGUCACUACCGGAACAGUCACGACCAAAAUAUUUGGUGAAAAUUCGGUAGUAAUGACAUCAUUUUUUGGGGUGUUAUCCCAUAAAAUUUUCACUACCGAAACACUAACUACCGAAACAUUUGGUGAAAUUUCGGUACACAUAAUCCUUUAUUUGAGGGAAAUAAACAAAAUUUUAGUACAGUUAUGCAAUUUUUUGUGUAUUUUAGCAUGUUUUAGUAGUGUUUUAGUAUGUGGGUUAAAACUCUGUAAUGUGAUGUGGUCGCUACCAAAACAUUACUGUCACUGCCAAAAAAAAAAAAAAAAUGCUGUCACGACCAAAACAUGAGAUGUUUUGUCAAAAAUAAAGUAUACUGAAUUUUCAACUAAGAUGUUUUUGGUUCAAUGUAUAUUCAAACUAAUGAAUCCUUAAGUCUGAAAUCAGUAUGAUCAACUUUUUGUCUUUUACAAAGAAAAAUUGUAUUCAAAAUACAAAUCUCAUAAAUCACACUUAAAAUAUUGUUUAAAUUGUAAUUGUCAUUGAUUUACCUCUGAAACCUUUUUAAUAAUAAAAAAUAUAUUUGCAAGGAAGAUGUAAGCAAAUUCUUAAUAGGUCAAUAUAACCCUUCUUAUUAAAUUAUAUAUUAUUGUGUUUCGGUAGUGACAGAUUUAGGGAGAGGACAAAUAUUCCAAAAUUUUUUGAAAAUACAAUAUAAGAAAUAACUGCACAAUUACUAGAAAUGUGUACUUUGGAUAUUAAACAAUUUGCAUACAUACAAAAUUUGUGGAAAAGACAAUGUUUCCAUCUCUGACUUAGAGCUAAUUCUGUAGAUUUUUUUUUUUUCUUUUUUUGCACACAAAAAGUGUUCUCAUAGCUUUAUAACAUCACGGUUGAACCAC